rnacentral:lncRNA from 1 species
CAUUCAAAGCAACAAAAGCUGCGGGUCAGGGUGGGCUUAGCCUCGGCAGAGGCAGAGGCCGCAUACUGCAGAAGCAGAGUGUGAAUGAUAGAAUGUGAAAAAAAAAAAAAUAUAAGCUGCGGGACGGGGUGGGUUUAGCCACUGCAAAUUAAUUUCUUCAUUCAUUCUUCAUAAUAAUGGUCCAAUCGGAUCCCAAUUUUUUGAUCUGAUAGAUACCUACUGAUCUGGUCCUUUCCUACUGCAUGGCGUUUUUAGUUUAGUUUUCUUUUAUCUUCAAAAUUGAUUUUGGAGGUUUCCGCCCUUUUUCCGGGGCGGAAGGGGGGCGGUCUCAUUUUUUAAAUACACUUGUAACAGUGUGAGCAUACAGAAGUCUGGAUGCAAAAUUUGGUGGCUCUAGCUUUUAGUCUCUGAGAUCCAGGCGCUCCAGACAGACAUGGCUCUAUCGACUCUAUCGAUUCGGCUAUUGAUGCUGACCAAGAAUAUAUAUACUUUAUGGGGUCGGAAACGUUUCUUUAUGUGCGUUACAUACAACCGUUAUUCUCACAAAUACAAUAUACCCUAUUUACUCUUCGAGUACCGGGUGUAAUUAAAGCCCUCAGCUAUCAGAAAAUAUCAUUUUGGUUCGCAG